CCUACGGGUGGCAGCAGUGAGGAAUAUUGGUCAAUGGCCGAGAGCCUGAACCAGCCAAGUCGCGUGAGGGAUGACUGUCCUACGGAUUGUAAACCUCUUUUGUCAGGGAGCAAAGUGACCCACGUGUGGGUGUUGGAGAGUACCUGAAGAAAAAGCAUCGGCUCACUCCGUGCCAGCAGCCGCGGUAAUACGGAGGAUGCGAGCGUUAUCCCGUUUUCUUGGGUUUAAAGGGUGCGUAGGCGGGUUAUUAAGUCAGCGGUAAAAUCGUGGAGCUCAACUCCAUCCAGCCGUUGAAACUGAUGAUCGUGAGUGGGCGAGAAGUAUGCGGAAUGCGUGGUGUAGCGGUGAAAUGCAUAGAUAUCACGAAGAACUCCGAUUGCGAAGGCAGCAUACCGGCGCCCGACUGACGCUGAAGCACGAAAGCGUGGGUAUCGAACAGGAUUAGAUACCCUUGUAGUC
rnacentral:rRNA from 1 species